GCGCGAAACCUCCGCAAUGCGAGCAAUCGCGACGGGGGAAACCCAAGUGCCACUCUUAACGGGGUGGCUUUUCUGAAGUGUAAAAAGCUUCAGGAAUAAGAGCUGGGCAAGACCGGUGCCAGCCGCCGCGGUAACACCGGCAGCCCAAGUGGUGGCCGUUUUUAUUGGGCCUAAAGCGUUCGUAGCCGGCCUGAUAAGUCUCUGGUGAAAUCCCGCAGCUUAACUGUGGGAAUUGCUGGAGAUACUAUCAGGCUUGAGGUCGGGAGAGGUUAGAGGUACUCCCAGGGUAGGGGUGAAAUCCUAUAAUCCUGGGAGGACCACCUGUGGCGAAGGCGUCUAACUGGAACGAACCUGACGGUGAGUAACGAAAGCCAGGGGCGCGAACC
rnacentral:rRNA from 1 species